rnacentral:rRNA from 1 species
CCUACGGGUGGCUGCAGUCGAGAAUCAUUCACAAUGGGGGAAACCCUGAUGGUGCGACGCCGCGUGGGGGAAUGAAGGUCUUCGGAUUGUAAACCCCUGUCAUGUGGGAGCAAAUUAAAAAGAUAGUACCACAAGAGGAAGAGACGGCUAACUCUGUGCCAGCAGCUGCGGUAAUACAGAGGUCGUAAGCGUUGUUCGGAAUCAGUGGGCGUAAAGGGUGCGUAGGCUGUUUCGUAAGUCGUGUGUGAAAGGCGCGGGCUCAACCCGCGGACGGCACAUGAUACUGCGAGACUAGAGAAAUGGAGGGGGAACCGGAAUUCUCGGUGUAGCAUUGAAAUGCGUAGAUAUCGAGAGGAACACUCGUGGCGAAGGCGGGUUCCUGGACAUUAACUGACGCUGAGGCACGAAGGCCAGGGGAGCGAAAGGGAUUAGAUACCCGUGUAGUC